AUUGAACGCUGGCGGCAUGCCUUACACAUGCAAGUCGAACGGUAACGGGCCUUCGGGUGCCGACGAGUGGCGAACGGGUGAGUAAUACAUCGGAACGUGCCCGAUCGUGGGGGAUAACGAGGCGAAAGCUUUGCUAAUACCGCAUACGAUCUACGGAUGAAAGCAGGGGACCGCAAGGCCUUGCGCGGACGGAGCGGCCGAUGGCAGAUUAGGUAGUUGGUGGGAUAAAAGCUUACCAAGCCGACGAUCUGUAGCUGUCUGAGAGGAUGAUCAGCCACACUGGGACUGAGACACGGCCCAGACUCCUACGGGAGGCAGCAGUGGGGAAUUUUGGACAAUGGGCGCAAGCCUGAUCCAGCCAUGCCGCGUGCAGGAUGAAGGCCUUCGGGUUGUAAACUGCUUUUGUACGGAACGAAAAGCCUUCUUUUAAUACAGGAGGGUCAUGACGGUACCGUAAGAAUAAGCACCGGCUAACUACGUG
rnacentral:rRNA from 1 species